rnacentral:antisense_RNA from 1 species
GGGAUCCAUGGAAAGAGCAUUCCCAGAAGGGGGGCCAGGGCAGUGCGCACAGUGAGGAGAGCAGCUGUGUGCAAGGUUGAAACAAAACGUUCAAAGCCCCCUUGGAAGCCCAUUCACAGGUGUGUGACUGUGAACCACAUCGUAAUCUCCUAGAAAGCAAGAACAUCAGGCUUACAUUUUUCACUUGCCUCUCAGGGCUCAGUGCUCUGCAGUAUAUACACAAUGUCAGCAAAGAUGGAAAACAGAACGUGGAGAGAGAUGUAGCUUACUAGAGCCCUGUGGCUUCAGUCCCCACCAGGAAUGUCGUUUAAGAGGAAGGUGAUCAAGCACAAAUUCACAUUUGCUUGAGGAAGAAUACAAAUGAUAUAUCACACACUAACUGUGUGCACAGCACUCUACCUAAAGAUCAGCGCUAACAGAGGAAUAAGCAGAGGCCUCCAGGAGCAAAGAGUGAAGAGUCUGGCAAGGCUUCAAGUACAGGGGUAAGUGGAUGGAGCUUUCACUGUAGAAUCUUUCCUGGAGAAAAAGCAAACAGUGGGGCAACAAUAAAGGCAUUAAAAAUAACUGUCAAGUUGAAGAAAAAAUCUGAAGUUUAUCAAUACAUGAUCUCCUCAAAAACGAAAGAAAUAAAACAAGUAUCUGCAAUUUGCUGAGAACCUAAUAUGUGUCAGUUGCCUGCAAAACUCAUCAUUCUUAGACUUUCAAAUACAUCUGUAAGGACGGUAUUGUUGUUUCCACUUACACAUGAGAAAACUUACAGAAGGCAAGAGACAAGCCCACAGUCACCCAGCUGGUAUUUUGCCAAAGACUAAGGAUUCGGAUAUGACUACGGAAAGGAAUAAGGAUUUUAUGAAAAUGCAUGUUUGUUGAAUAACACAAAGGAGAAUAUUACCUAAUGUGGCUUGGGGUCAAUAUCAAGCAGUAAUAUUGUUUUAAUAUUAAUUAGAGCCGUGUCAUUGCAAGAGCUGGUAAGAAUACUGGUGUUGUUUCCAACUGAUGAAAACACUCAUACAGAUUAGGGUUUUUAUGAGUAAAUUUCAGAUCUUGAAGUCAGUGCUGUGAUUCACUCUCAUAGG